UACGUAGGUGGCAAGCGUUGUCCGGAAUUAUUGGGCGUAAAGAGCGCGUAGGCGGCCCAGUAAGUCCGCUCUGAAAGUCAGAGGCUCAACCUCUGGAUGCGGGUGGAUACUGCUGGGCUAGAGUCCGGAAGAGGCGAGUGGAAUUCCUGGUGUAGAGGUGAAAUUCGUAGAUAUUCGGAAGAACACCAGUGGCGAAGGCGGCUCACUGGACCGGUAUUGACGCUGAGGUGCGAAAGCGUGGGGAGCAAACAGG
rnacentral:rRNA from 1 species